GGGGUUAUGUCUCAAUGGUAGAGAACUUGCCUGGCAUGUAUGAGGCAGUGGGUUCAAUUCUCAAUACCACA
rnacentral:tRNA from 1 species